rnacentral:tRNA from 1 species
AGUAUUAUGUCUGAUUUAAGUAGUAAACUGUAAAUUUACUUAAGAGAUUCUAUCUCUAAUACUA